rnacentral:rRNA from 1 species
UACAGAGGGUGCGAGCGUUAAUCGGAAUUACUGGGCGUAAAGCGCGCGUAGGCGGCUUUGCAAGUCGGGUGUGAAAUCCCCAGGCUUAACCUGGGAACUGCAUUCGAGACUGCAUUGCUAGAGUAUGGGAGAGGGAAGUGGAAUUUCCGGUGUAGCGGUGAAAUGCGUAGAUAUCGGAAGGAACAUCAGUGGCGAAAGCGACUUCCCGGACCAAUACUGACGCUCAUGUGCGAAAGCGUGGGGAGCAAACAGG